GAGUUUGAUCGUGGCUCAGAACGAACGCUGGCGGCAGGCUUAACACAUGCAAGUCGAACGCACCGCAAGGUGAGUGGCAGACGGGUGAGUAACGCGUGGGAAUCUACCUAGCUCUUCGGAAUAGCUCCGGGAAACUGGAAUUAAUACCGAGUACGCCCUACGGGGGAAGAUUUAUCGGGGUUAGAUGAGCCCGCGUUGGAUUAGCUAGUUGGUGGGGUAAUGGCCUACCAAGGCGACGAUCCAUAGCUGGUCUGAGAGGAUGAUCAGCCACACUGGGACUGAGACACGGCCCAGACUCCUACGGGAGGCAGCAGUGGGGAAUAUUGGACAAUGGGCGCAAGCCUGAUCCAGCCAUGCCGCGUGAGUGAUGAAGGCCUUAGGGUUGUAAAGCUCUUUCGGUGGGGAAGAUAAUGACGGUACCCACAGAAGAAGCCCCGGCUAACUUCGUG
rnacentral:rRNA from 1 species